rnacentral:sRNA from 1 species
AUGGAACCCCACUGAGCUGGUGGGUUGGAAGAACCAAUGAAACACACACUUACUGGGGAGGUUCUCUGCCUGAUGCUCAAAAGUGUACUUGUGGAUUAGAGGGGAACUGCAUUGAUUCUCAGUAUUACUGCAACUGUGAUGCUGGCCGGAAUGAAUGGACUAGUGACACAAUAGUCCUUUCCCAAAAGGAGCACCUGCCAGUCACUCAGAUUGUGAUGAUGGACGCAGGCCGACCACAUUCCGAAGCAGCUUAUACUCUGGGGCCACUGCUCUGCCGCGGAGACAAGUCAUUUUGGAAUUCAGCUUCCUUCAACACUGAGACUUCAUACCUUCAUUUCCCUGCUUUCCAUGGAGAACUCACUGCUGACGUGUGUUUCUUUUUUAAGACCACAGUUUCCUCUGGGGUGUUUAUGGAGAACCUGGGGAUCACAGACUUCAUCAGGAUUGAGCUGCGGGCUCCCACAGAAGUGACCUUUUCCUUUGAUGUGGGGAAUGGACCUUGUGAGGUCACGGUGCAGUCACCCACUCCCUUUAAUGACAAUCAGUGGCACCACGUGAGGGCAGAGAGAAAUGUUAAAGGAGCGUCUCUUCAAGUUGAUCAGCUUCCUCAGAAGAUGCAGCCUGCCCCUGCUGAUGGGCACGUUCGUUUACAGCUCAACAGCCAGCUCUUCAUUGGUGGAACGGCCACCAGACAGAGAGGCUUUCUAGGAUGCAUUCGGUCUCUGCAGUUGAACGGGGUGGCCCUGGAUCUGGAAGAAAGAGCCACAGUGACGCCAGGAGUGGAGCCAGGGUGUGCAGGACACUGCAGCACCUAUGGACACUUGUGUCGCAAUGGAGGGAGAUGCAGAGAGAAACGCAGAGGGGUCACCUGUGACUGUGCCUUCUCAGCCUAUGAUGGGCCGUUCUGCUCCAAUGAGAUUUCUGCAUAUUUUGCAACUGGCUCCUCAAUGACGUACCAUUUUCAAGAACAUUACACUUUAAGUGAAAACUCCAGCUCUCUCGUUUCUUCGUUACACAGAGAUGUAACAUUGACCAGAGAAAUGAUCACACUGAGCUUCCGAACCACACGAACUCCGAGCUUAUUGCUGUAUGUGAGCUCUUUCUAUGAGGAAUACCUUUCAGUUAUCCUCGCCAACAAUGGAAGUUUGCAGAUUAGGUACAAGCUAGAUAGACAUCAAAAUCCUGAUGCAUUUACCUUUGAUUUUAAAAACAUGGCUGAUGGGCAACUUCACCGAGUGAAGAUUAACAGAGAAGAAGCCGUGGUCAUGGCAGAGGUAAUCCCACAAAUGCAAAAGUCAAACUAAUAUUAUUAUUUUGAGAACAAAUAAUCUAAUGAAAAAAUUUGAUAAUAAAUAUUAGUGGAAGAGCAACCCAUUCAAUGCUGCUCUUCCAUAAGUCAAGAAGAAGCCAAAUAUGGCCGGGAUCUGGGGGAGAGGAGGUGGUUGUUUAUUCUGUAUUGCUUUGUUUUGUUUGUUUAGCAAUGCAAUUCUGUCAAAGUUAUUAUUAAUAUUUUACUAUUUAAAAUAUCAAAAUAUCUUCAUUUGUUUCACUUUACUCAGUAGGGGAAUGUUCUCUAGUUUCUCAUAGUGACUACUGGUGGAAUCUAUUCAUUGAUAUUGCAGUGGGAACUUGUCUUAUUCUGAUUAUAAAAGAACAAAUACUUUAGCAACUUAAAAACAUGGUUUAAAAGCACACAACAUAGUUAUUAAAAUGGGAAUAAGUAAAAAAAUAGACCUGAGUGACAACAGAGGAAGUAAAUUCCACAUUGCCAUUGGCAUUGGAAGGAAAAUAUACUGUAUAGAGAACAACAAUGCUUGGUUUUAUGUUUCAGAUUUUCUCCGCAGAAUGAGUACGUAUUUAAGUUUAAAACAGCCAAUUCCAUCUUUUUCAUGGAUUCUGCCAAUUAUAGAUCCUUCCAUUAUGAAGAAGAGUAAAGCCAGCAAGUGGGUACAUCGUGGAUAGAGUGGUAGCUGAUGGCAUCAUAGGAAUUGCUUAUAAAAUAGCUUCCCCUUCUGAAUGAUUAAUUAUUUGAAGGUGGCUUCUUGAGCUUUUGUAGUGGUACUUAAAAGUGAUUUAUUUUCAUCUUUCCUUUCCUCAUCUUCCUUUGCUUCCUUAUCAUUAAAAUUGUACUUUCUGUUGAUGUUUGCUUCUCAUGGGACAUCUAAUAGGUUAACCAGAGCGCAAAGAAACAAGUAAUCUUGUCCUCAGGGACAGAAUUCAACGCCCUCAAAUCUCUCAUAUUGGGAAAGGUUUUAGGUAAGUAGAAGAAAGAGCUUUUUCCCAAAAAAUCUAAGUGUCAUGUCACAAACUCUGGAAGCAUUCAUCAUGCUGAAAGAAGCUCCUUGUCUUACUUGAAUAAUAAUUUCACAGUGAGUGACAAUCAAGGUGCAAACUGUACUCUUGCCUGAGUGUACAUAUAAUCAUGAGUAAGUGCUGCCUGUGAGAUAUGCAAGGGCGUUCCUGGAAAAAUACCUCCACACUUAACCUCUCACUUGGCAAUCAUGCAUAAUGAAUCACGGUAUUUUUCUAACCCUUCUUGAAAAGUGAAAUGUUAUCAAAGCUGACACAAAGUUCACAGAUUAUGUAUGUAUUAAUCAACAUCAACUCCGGAGACCAUCAUUCAAUGAUAAAACUACGUUUGAGUUGAACACAAGAGAAAAAACUGUUAAUCUUAUUACAGCAGAUGAAUACAGUUUUAAUUCUCUCUCAAGCCCUGCUUUACCUGUUGUUUCCAUCCUUUUUGACUUUAGUAUCUAACAGGAAUGGGGAGGCAUAUUCAUAAAUAUCUAUUACGCAAGGUAGAAAGUUACAGUAAUUGUCUAUCAUAUUGUCUAUCAUAACCUGUUGUAAAAUCACAGUUAGCUUUACAUUUAAUAAAGGAACUGAGGAAAAUAAUCUUUUUUUUUUUAAAAAACUCAUGUAACUCAAGAAAAUGAACUAUACUUUAAUAUUGAGGAUCAAAAAGUAGAAUAAUAUUUAUUAUAUACAUCUUUGUUUCCUUCCAAAUAAAGGAGAACAUGU